ACCCAGCAACAAUAUUGUACCUACUUGAAAUAUAGAAAAGAUGAAAAAAGAACGGACCAACAAUAAUAAUACUGUUCUGAGUUCCACGAUUUUUAUAUUUUGUUCUUUUUUUUGGUUCCUUUCUAAUCUUUUUUGUUCCCAAUAUUAUAAUUAUUA
rnacentral:ribozyme from 14 species